CUUGGCAAGACGUGCAAUUGGUCUAGUAAAGGGGUGUGUUUGAUGUAAUAGAGGUAAAAGAUGGUGAACCAUCGGAUCCUGAAGAAAGUAGCGAAGCCUUCCAACAAGAAAGUAUUACCUUAACUUUGCCAAUUGACAUUGAGGAUAAUAUUCGAUAUCAUAGGGAAGACGUUGAAGUUGAGGUUAUUGAAGAGUUAAGCCAUUCGAUGAAACAAGGGAAGCCAAUAUAUAUGAUGAAGACCAUGAAAUAAUGGGAGAUAAUAUAAGUAACGAAGCUGGUGAAGAUGAUGAAAUAUCCAAUGCCGAUGAUAUGGAUCCGGAUAUGGAUUAUGAUAUGUAAUUCGAUUUUUGAUUAGACAUUGUUUUUGGAUCCUAUUACGUUUUAUCAUUACAUUUUCUAAGUUUAAAAUGUUGUGCUUGUUUAUAAUUUAUUUUUUGGUCUGAUGACAAUGAUUCCAUACGUUGACAAUAGACCUCAAGACGAUGAGGAUGAUCAUGAUGACAGUGACUCUAGUGACUCUUUUGAGCAGAGGUGCGUACUAAAAUCGAAAACUUAAUGAUAGGCAAAAUAAUAUGCAUCUUUUUUUGUUCUCUCUUUUUUAAUUGUCGUCUUGUCAUAUGAAUUAUGUAUGUUUUGUGUUGAUGCUUGUGCAUUCCCUAUUGUAUAAUGAGGUGGUGGCAUAACCCAUCAGAACUGCUCUUUUUUACUUGUUGAAUUUUAACCCCUCAGAAUUGCUCUGUUUUACUUAUUAAAUAUAAUGAGGUGGUGGCAUAACCCCUCGGAAUUGCUAUUUUUUACUUAUUGAAUAUAACGAGGUGGUGGCAUAACCCCUUGGAACUGCUCCUUUUUACUUGUUGAAUAUAGCGAGGUGGUGGCAUAACCCCUCGGAAUUGGGUUUCAAGUGAACUUCUAUUUCAUCGAUAUAUGUAUCUUUUGUCGAUAAAAAAAUAGGACUACUGUUAAGGCAACUUUCCCCAAUUUCGAUAGGACAAUUUUGGCCUCAAGUUUUUUAUCAUGUUCGCAAUUAAAAGUGUUUUGUUUAGAAUUACAAAGUCUAGUUUUACUUUUGUAAAUGUAAAAGUCUUAGAGUUUGAAACACUAGCUUCCUUUGUGCAAAUAGCAUAGGAAGAAACCAUGAAGAAACACUAGGCUCCUGAAUUACUAAUUAAAGUUGUUAGUCUGCUGCAUUGUCAUGGAGUUUCUGUUGUGCUUGGAGUAAUUCCUCUUCCGUUGCCUCGGCUCUAGCAGAAAUAUGGGAGAAGUUUAACUUGUUUAGGGUUUUAAGAGGACUCUUCAGAGCUUUAAUUUUUUUUCAAGUUCUGAACAUGGCAGUUCCCUCAACUUGCAUUUCCCAAGAGCUGCUAACCAGGCCUUAGAAGGAUUCAUGGUUCACCCACAUGUUGAAGAACUUAAAGGGGGAUGUUCCCCUAUCAUUCUCCCCCAAUAGAGUAACUAUGCAGGGGGAGUGAUCGGAGAACUUCCAAGGGAAAUCAAAGGUGGCUUGGGCAGUGAGACCCUUCUGGAUCCAAGCAUUGUUCACCAUUGCGUGAUCCAGCUUGCACCAAACCAAAUUGUUUGUCCAAUUAUGAAAAGCCCCUAAGGAUCUUAAAUCUGACAGCCCUAGAUCAUAACAACAUGCUUUGAAAUCUCUGAUUUCGUACAUUGAGACAGGCGUCCAAUUGCUUCUUUCCUCAAAUGAUUAUUACAGGCCAUACCAGGUGAUUAUGUCUCUCUUCGUUAGCCCUGUCCUUGUCAUCAAAAUAUUUCCAAAUAACUUUAUGGUUACUAGUCAAAGAAUUUAUAAUAUGGAGUAGUAGUAAAGAAAAUACAUAACAAGACUAACAAAGUUCCACUACUAGUAUAUAUUGGACAUUGAUACAGAUAGAAAAUUACAUAUGAAAGCUCUAUAAGGGACUAUUGUAAUAAGAAAUACAUCUACAGGUGGCUAACAUAAAGUAGUUUAGAUAUUUAGACAUGGCUCUUGAUAGUACUUGGACCAUAUUACUUGGACCAUAGUGCUAUUAGGAAGCACUAUAUCUAGUUUGGUCAUCAUACUACUUGGACCACAGCAUCACACCUCUGUAAUUGGCAGAACCCUUAAUAGCUGGAAGCACUUUUGAAGUGAGAUCAGAGAUGGGAACAAAACCACUUCUAGCUGCUUUAGGGGCUUCAGGUAAGCCCAAUAAAAUCUUGGUGACCGGGAUUUUAGAAAUCCAUUGCCUCCAUGCAUCUUCAAAAUUUGCAAGAUCACUUGAGGGUUUAUUUGACUAGUUUGGACUUUAAUUUUUUUGUCCUUUCUCUUAAAUUCAUAACAAUGGAAGUGUUGGGCAUUUUAUUGCUCCUCCACUGCCGCUUAUCCUACCACCUCAUUGAGAUCAUGUUUUAGUUUCAUAUGGGACACUUUGAUACUUGGUUAUUAGAAGUCUAUGGCACUAGGAAAUAUUUACCCCUUUUGUUGUUUUCAUAAUAUUUAUUGAGGGAGUCACUUUGGAUAUUUUACGUUUGCAGAUAAUAUAUGUCGAAGGUUGGCAGCGGGGAUGAUGACAUGAGUGCUAUUCUACGAAGACUUCUUCUCGGAUACUUGUUUCUUUUUAGAUCAAACUUUAAAUCUUCGAUCUUUUUGGUUUUUCAAUAAUGUUAC
rnacentral:lncRNA from 1 species